GACGAACGCUGGCGGCGUGCUUAACACAUACAAGUCGAACGGAAAGGCCCUGCUUUUGUGGGGUGCUCGAGUGGCGAACGGGUGAGUAACACGUGAGUAACCUGCCCUUGACUUUGGGAUAACUUCAGGAAACUGGGGCUAAUACCGGAUAGGAGCUCCUGCUGCAUGGUGGGGGUUGGAAAGUUUCGGCGGUUGGGGAUGGACUCGCGGCUUAUCAGCUUGUUGGUGGGGUAGUGGCUUACCAAGGCUUUGACGGGUAGCCGGCCUGAGAGGGUGACCGGCCACAUUGGGACUGAGAUACGGCCCAGACUCCUACGGGAGGCAGCAGUGGGGAAUAUUGCACAAUGGGCGGAAGCCUGAUGCAGCAACGCCGCGUGCGGGAUGACGGCCUUCGGGAUGUAAACCGCUUUCGCCUGUGACGAAGCGUGAGUGACGGUAAUGGGUAAAGAAGCACCGGCUAACUACGUG
rnacentral:rRNA from 1 species